CAGUAGCCGCGGUAAUACGUAGGUGGCAAGCGUUGUCCGGAAUUAUUGGGCGUAAAGGGCUCGCAGGCGGUUUCUUAAGUCCGAUGUGAAAGCCCCCGGCUCAACCGGGGAGGGUCAUUGGAAACUGGGAAACUUGAGUGCAGAAGAGGAGAGUGGAAUUCCACGUGUAGCGGUGAAAUGCGUAGAGAUGUGGAGGAACACCAGUGGCGAAGGCGACUCUCUGGUCUGUAACUGACGCUGAGGAGCGAAAGCGUGGGGAGCGAACAGGAUUAGAUACCCCGGUAGUCCCUGUCUCUUAUAC
rnacentral:rRNA from 1 species